AGCGAACGCUGGCGGCAGGCCUAACACAUGCAAGUCGAACGAACUCUUCGGAGUUAGUGGUGGACGGGUGAGUAACACGUGGGAACGUGCCUUUAGGUUCGGAAUAACUCAGGGAAAUUUGUGCUAAUACCGAAUGUGCCCUUCGGGGGAAGGAUUUAUCGCCUUUAGAGCGGCCCGCGUCUGAUUAGCUAGUUGGUGGGGUAAUGGCUCACCAAGGCUACGAUCAGUAGCUGGUCUGAGAGGAUGACCAGCCACAUUGGGACUGAGACACGGCCCAAACUCCUACGGGAGGCAGCAGUGGGGAAUCUUGCGCAAUGGGCGAAAGCCUGACGCAGCCAUGCCGCGUGGAUGAUGAAGGUCUUAGGAUUGUAAAAUCCUUUCACCGGUGAAGAUAAUGACUGUAGCCGGAGAAGAAGCCCCGGCUAACUUCGUGCCAGCCGCCGCGGUAA
rnacentral:rRNA from 1 species